UACGUAGGGUGCGAGCGUUGUCCGGAAUUAUUGGGCGUAAAGAGCUCGUAGGCGGCUCAGUAAGUCGGGUGUGAAACCUCCAGGCUCAACCUGGAGACGCCACCGUGAUACUGCGUGUGGCUGGAGUCCGGUAGGGGAGCGUGGAAUUCCUGGUGUAGCGGUGAAAUGCGCAGAUAUCAGGAGGAACACCAGCGGCGAAGGCGGCGCUCGUGGGCCGGUACUGACGCUGAGGAGCGAAAGCGUGGGUAGCAAACAGG
rnacentral:rRNA from 1 species